rnacentral:rRNA from 1 species
UUAAAAAUUGAAUGGCCGCGGUAUCUUGACCGUGCAAAGGUAGCAUAAUCGUUAGUUUUUUAAUUGGAAUCUUGUAUGAAUGGUUGGACAAAAGAAAGUCUGUCUUUGUAUCAUUAAUUGAAUUUAACUUUUAAGUGAAAAGGCUUAAAUAAAUUAAAGGGACGAUAAGACCCUAUAAAGCUUAAUAUUAAAAUUUUAUUUAGUUGAAUUUUUUUGUUAUAAAAACUUAGUAAUUGAGUUUAUUUUAUUGGGGCGAUAAGAGUAAAAUGAUUAUUAACUGCUUAAUUUUUAAUACACUUAUAGAUGAUUAAAUUUUUAGAUGAUCCUAGUUAGAGAUUAAAAGUUUAAGUUACUUUAGGGAUAACAGCGUUAUUUUUCUUAAGAGUACUUAUCGAAAGAAAAGUUUGCGACCUCGAUGUUGAAUUAAAAUAUCUUUAUAAUUGCAGCAGUUAUAAAAGUAGGUCUGUUCGACCUUUAAAAUUUUACAUGAUUUGAGUUCAAACCGGCGUGAG